rnacentral:rRNA from 1 species
UGGCCCCUCGGGAGGCAGCAGUGGGGGAUAUUGCACAAUGGGGGAAACCCUGAUGCAGCGACGCCGCGUGGGUGAAGAAGCGCCUCGGCGCGUAAAGCCCUGUCAGCAGGGAAGAAAAUGACGGUACCUGAAGAAGAAGCCCCGGCUAACUACGUGCCAGCAGCCGCGGUAAUACGUAGGGGGCAAGCGCUAUCCGGAUUUACUGGGUGUAAAGGGAGCGUAGACGGAAAGGCAAGUCAGAAGUGAAAACCCAAGGCUCAACCAUGGGACUGCUUUUGAAACUGUCAAACUAGAGUACGGGAGGG